ACGACUACAGGUGAAUCAUCGAAUCUUUGAACGCAUAUUGCGCUGGUGAGUUUUCUCACCAGCACACCUGUUUGAGUAUCGGUUUUCAUUAUCAACACAAAACUCUAUUCAUUUAGGGGCCCGCGUGUUGGACUAUGGAUGUUUGGUGUUUCUGUUAAAGGAAGCGCUAAUCAUUUUAAAUUGAAGGAGGCUUUUUCUCGUAAUGCCGAACCUACAACAUAAACCGCAUGGUUAUUAGGGCGCGUUUUUCUCAAGUCUGUAAAAGGAUAAGAGAGGCACACUUUACCAUACGGCUUCUUGGUUGGGAAGAGAAUAAUAAAAAGGAGCCCUUUUUAACUUGAUAAUGCAUUGUUUCCGGUAAAAAGAAACCAGUGCGUUAAUCAAUAAAAACCAAAUCUCGAUCUCAAAUCAGGUGAGACAACCCGCUGAAUUUAAGCAUAUCAAUAAGCGGAGG
rnacentral:rRNA from 1 species